rnacentral:rRNA from 1 species
GGGGGAUAUUGCACAAUGGAGGAAACUCUGAUGCAGCAACGCCGCGUGAGGGAAGAAGGUCUUCGGAUUGUAAACCUUUGUCCUUGGUGACGAAACAAAUGACGGUAGCCAAGGAGGAAGCUCCGGCUAACUACGUGCCAGCAGCCGCGGUAAUACGUAGGGAGCAAGCGUUGUCCGGAUUUACUGGGUGUAAAGGGUGCGUAGGCGGCUCUGCAAGUCAGGCGUGAAAUACAUGGGCUUAACCCAUGGACUGCGUUUGAAACUGUGGAGCUUGAGUGGAGUAGAGGUAGGCGGAAUUCCCGGUGUAGCGGUGAAAUGCGUAGAGAUCGGGAGGAACACCAGUGGCGAAGGCGGCCUACUGGGCUUUAACUGACGCUGAGGCACGAAAGCAUGGGUAGCAAAC